rnacentral:lncRNA from 1 species
UAUUAAAUACAUUUAAGAAAUACAUUGGUUUGGUUCAGAAAGGCAGAACAACUCAAAGUGGGGUGGUGGUGUGGGGGUUUCCAGGCUAUAGGUAAAUUUAAACAUUUUCUGGUUGACAAUUUGUUGAGUUUAUUUGAAGACCUGGGAUUAAUGGAAAGGAAUAUUCAGGUUAAGAUAAAUGACUGUGGAGACCAAGUUUUAUUGUGCAGAGGAAUCUCUCAGAUAGCAGACUUCAGAGAGACAGCAGGUUGUAAAAUAUUUCUUAUCAGACUUAAAAGAGUGCCUGGCUCUUAGUUGAUUACCUCCUGGAUCUGGAAAGAAACAAAGGAAAACAAAGGAGAAAUCCAUAUUCUCUACAGAAUGUGGAUUUUUCCCACAAGAGACUUUGCAGGGCAAUUUCAAGGUAUGGCAAAGAAAUAUAUUUUCGGGUAAAACAUUUUUUCCUUGUCUCACAAUGUUAUGCCAGAGUCAGAUUGAAAAGUUAGUCACAAUAUAUAGGGUCAAAUAAAACCCAUCUGAUGAGAAUUUAUGGUUUGUAGGGCAUGACUCCCCAGGCCCCUUAGAUAGGAAUUUAGGCAAAAUAAAAAAUCAGAGCUUAGUCCUCAAUAUGUAGAAGUGAUAAGCAAAGCUGAUAGAAUAGAUAAUAUUUUAGGAAAAAAAUAAAAUGAAAAAAACCCUGAUGAUUGGAGACUCAGAAUUAAAUCACUAAAUUUACUGCAUAAAGGAUAAUAUUUGUAUGUAUUGUGUGUUUGAUGGGAAGCAGAUGGUUUGACAAAAUAAUAAUUAUACUUUCCUUGUAGUCUGCUCUCAUUCCAGUUUUAUAUCUGAUUUCCAGCUAUCUAUGCCUUUUAGUUAAGCAGAACUGUUCUUAGAGAAUCAUCUGAAGGUUUUUGCUCUCUUCUUUCUCAGCAAGUUAAUAUAGAUGUAUUUGGGCUUUAUCAACAAAGAAAGAAAUUACUAUUUCUUUAAUUUUUUUUCCUUUGAAUUCCUUUCAUUAUUUAAAGUGGUGAUGCUUCAAAUAGCUAAAGACUAAUUUAAAAAAAAAAAAAGGUGAUUCAUUCAUUUCCUCCACCAGAGCCACAUCUCAGCCUCAGGGCUCAAGGAUGGCAGCAGCAUGAGGUUAAUUUUGGACUCACAGGCUGCUUGCUUGAAAACUGUUAGCUUCACUUCUCAUCUCCUUGUGGGUAGGGAGCUGCCACUGAUGGCAUUUACAGAAUAACAAAUGAGGAUUAAGCUUUCUAUUUGGGAGAUAUUUUGAGCAAAAUUAAACAUGGUGUAGGCAGAGUGGAUUAGAUUGAAAUGAUCCCCAUUCUGACAAAGCCCUUAAAACACACACACACACACACACACACACACACACACACACACACACACAUAAAGCCAGUAUUAACCCUCAAGAACAAGGUAAAUCACAAAACAUCUGCAGUGUCCUACCAGUUUUCCAGUAAUUGCAAUAGAGUAUAAUUAAGGUAACUAAGUCUAAGGACUCUGUGUUUAAAUGCUGGCUGUACCACCUGCUAGCUGUAUAACCUUGAAAACAUAUUUGAUCUCCCUAAGUUUCAGUUUCCUCCAAUGUUAUAUUGGGGUUAAUAACGACAGCUAACAUUCAUUGAGUAUAUAUCAUGCCCAGAGUGUCCAUUCACUUAUUUAUUUCUGAUUUAACAAAUUGGAAGAUGGGUCAGAAGAAAAUACUCAGACUUAAGCCCAAAGUUAUGGAAAUUACAGAAAAGAUAGUAAAAGAUAAAUUGACACAGCAAAUAGGUUUAACACAUGUGCAUCUGGAGUCCCAGAAGGAGAUGUGAAAGAAUAUGGAGAAGGUUAUUAUUUGCCAGCCACUGCUUUAAGUACUUUACAGAUAUAUCUUAUUUAAUCCUCAUAAAAUCUCUCUGAGGUAGGCACUAUUCUUGCCACACCCAUUUUACAGAUGAGGAAACCAAGGCACCAAGUUAGGUAACUUGCCCAGGGCCACACAGCUAGUAAGUGGUAGAGCUGAGAUAUAAACCCAAGCAGUCUGAGCUGUGUCCACAUUUUAAACCAGCCUUAUUCUGAGGACCAUACAUAUGUCAACUCAUUAAAUGCUCACCAAUAAGUCCUAUGAGUACUAUCAUUAUCCCCAUUCUAUAGGUGAAAGAGGUUAGGCAAUUUGGCCAAGAUUACAUAAUUAGGUAAUGAUAGAGCUAAGAUACAAUGCCAGACAAGUCUGUCUCUAAAACCCACAAUCAUAAUUUUUAUGCUAUAUCCUCUGUCAGUAAUAGUACCUUUAUCAUAGAGUUCUUUAGUCCAGUCCUGGCAUACACUCAGAUAUUAUUAUCAUUUACGAUUACUAUUACUGAUUGUCCUCUGAUAGUUGUAGCUCCCUAAGAGCUCAAGUUGCAAUCACAGUGAGGUGGGAGUAGCAGGAAUGUAUAGCAUGCUGCCUGAAUAUGACACCCUGCUCUCAGCAGGUUCCUAAGAUGAGGAAACUAUUAGAGUUCCUAAAAUGAAGGUCCUUGCUAGAGAUUCCAUGUAUUUCAGUUCAUUUACUCUCUUUGCCUAACUGCAGUAUAGAAGGUGACUGGAUACCAGAAAAAUUGUAGGGAAAGAGGAAGGGAGUUUUAAUUCUUUGUUUUAAUCCUUUGUUGGGAGUUUUAAAAUUUGAUAGAAUUCCAAUCUGUCUUGACUGAGAGCAAGCUAGCACAGAAUACCACAUCACACUCCCCAAAUGAUGCUAAGGCAUUUAUAAUAGUAGGUUUUUUUUUUUUUUUUUUUUUUUUGAGAUGGAGUCUCACCCUGCCACACAGGCUGGAGUGCAGUGGCACGAUCUCAGCUCACUGCAACCUCCACCUCCUGGGUUCAAGCAAUUCUCAUGCCUCAGCCUCCCAAGUAGCUGGGAUUACAGGCACAUGCCACCAUGCCCGGCUAAUUUUUAUAUUCUGAGUAGAGACGGGGUGCUGUGAUUACAGGCGCGAGCCACCAUGCCCGGCCAUAUAUAUAUAUAUAAUUUUUUUUUUAAUAAGCCUUAACUCUAUGCCAACUACUUUUCCAAGUGCAUAUGUUAAUUUAUGUGUUCCUUAGAAAAGCCCUAGGAGAUGCAUAAUAUUAUCUGCUCACUUUAUAGAUGAGGAAAUUAAGGCCUGGUGUUCAAGGCCACACAGUCAGUAAGUGAUAAAACUGGAAUUUGAACAGUUUUGCCCCAGAACCCAAGAUCUUAUGUUCCUCUCACUUCAAUACUAGUUUUUUUUGAGAUGGAGUCUCGCUCUGUUGCCCAGGCUGGAGUGCAGUGGCAUGAUCUCUGCUCACUGCAACCUCUGCCUCCCGGGUUCAAGUGAUUCUCCUGUCUCAGCCUCCUGAGUAGCUGGGAUUACAGACAUGCGCCACAACGCCUGACUAAUUUUUGUAUUUUUUAGUAGAGACAAGGUUUCACCAUGUUGGCCAGGCUGGUCUCGAACUCCUGACCUCAGGUGAUCCACCCGCCUCAGCCUCCGGAAGUGCUGAGAUUACAGGCAUGAGUCACCGCACCCAGCUUCCAACACUAGUUUUAAUACUCUUCCCACAUUACCGAUUACCCCUCUAUCUCAUGAAUGAAACUAAAUAUUAAAUAUAUAAUUGUAAAGUACAAGGUGAUUUUCAUGAAGUUGUUUUGCGGUCCUCUUAAAAAUGCUUCCCAUCUCUCACCAUUACAUUGUACUCUGCUUUUUUUUUUUUUUUUUUGAAAUAGGAUCUCAUUCUGUUGCCCAGGCUGGAGUGCAGUGGCGUGAUCUCAGCUCACUGCAACCUCUACCUUCUGGGCUCAAGUGUCACCUCUGCCUCCUGAGUAGGUGGGACUACAGGCAUGCACCAUCACACCUGGCUAUUUUUUUUGUUUUUUGUAGAGAUGGGGUUUUGUUAUGUUGCCCAGGAUUGUCUCAAACUCCUGGGUCCACACAAUCUACCUGCCUAGGCCUUCCAAAGAACUGGGAUUACAGGUGUGAGCCACUGCCCCCAGCCCAUUGUACUUUGAUUCUUUUGCCUGCAAUGUUUUCAGCCCUUCGCCCAAGGUGAGAUUUUUGAUAAUACAAAAGUUCUGAAUCCAUUUGACAGGGUUUACUUGUCAACAAAGUGGAUACAGGUAUCUUCUUCUUGUCCACAGCCAAAUCUUGUGGCGAUAGUCAGAUAGUAGAAGGUGGUGGUGGGGGAUGUCUACUCUGCCUUUUUUUUUUUUUUUUUUUUUUUUUAAGGAGAUAGGGUCUUGUUCUGUCACCCAGGCUGGAGUACAGUGGCACGAUCAUAGUUCACUGCAGCUUCGAACUUCUGGGCUCGAGUGAUCCUCUCACCUCAGCCUCCAAGUAGUUGGGAUGACAGGUGCAUACCAACAUGCCCAGCAAAUUUUUCUUGUGGUUUUUUAAGAGAUGGGGGUCACGCUGUGUUGCCCAGGUUGUUCCUGAACUCCUGACCUGAAGGGAUUCUCCUGUCUUAGCCUCCCAAGUCACCGCAAUUACAGGUGUGAGCCACUGUGCCUGGCUCCCCUCUGCCUUUCGUUACCUUUCCUAGGGCAGGAAUUGUUGGCAUAUACUGGCACCAGUGCCCAACAUUGUUUCACUUUAUUUUGGAUCCUAAAAAAUUAAUUUCUCCUCAAUUUAUUUAUGAAGAAAUAUAUCUUAUCAAAAGACCAAGGAAGCAGGAUUUGUAAGCAAAGAAGAUUUCAGGAAUUUGUAGGUUUUACAUGUUCUUCUACCUCAGAUAUAUAGCUGACUCUUUUUUUGGGAAGGGGCACAGAAAAAUUUAUGUACCCUGUUAAAUAGCAGUAGACAAUAGUUACGGUCUGCUAGCCCCAUCUACUUCUCAUGAGAAGAAAAAAGGUCUACAAAGGCAUUGUCACAGAGGUUUUUGGCCUCUUGUAAGAGACUUUCCUGAGGUUUUUAUAUAGCCAAGUGUUUUGCUUAUUUACUACUUUGUGGCACUGGAUCAAAUAAUGUAUGCUGAUAUAUAAUACAUUGAUUAAUGCAUUUUCCAAACUCAUGACCAGCUUGAAAUAUAUUGUUUUUUGGUUUUUUUUUUGAGACAGAGUCUCGCUCUGUUGCCCAGGCUGGAGUACAGUGGCACGAUCUCGGCUCACUGCAAGCUCCACCUCCCGGGUUCACACCAUUCUCAUGCCUCAGCCUCCCGAGUAGCUGGGACUACAGGUGCCCGCCACCACGCCCAGCUAAUUUUUUUUUUGGUAUUUUUAGUAGAGACGGGGUUUCACCGUGUUAGUCAGGACGGUCUCGAUCUUCUGACCUCGUGAUCCGCCUGCCUCGGCCUCCCAAAGUGCUGGGAUUACAGGCAAGAGCCACCGCGCCUGGCCCAGCUUGAAAUAUUUUUAUAGAAUGUCUCAGAGUCUAUAAAAUAAUUUUUAAUAUUUUGUAAUAUUUUUAGAGAUAUCAGUGAAGGAUUUAAAAAAUAAGAGACAGACAGUAUAAUGUAAAAAUUUUCUCAUGGGAUAUUUUUUGUUACCAAUGUGAAUUUAUUGAUACUACCUUGAUGCUAAUAGUGAAUUCUUUGAAGGCAAGACAUUCAUUUGUUUUUUAGUUCACAGUGAACCUAACAUAGUAACUUGAAUGUAAUAGAUGCUUCAUUAUUGUUUGUUGAAUGUAUGAAUGAUUAAAUAAAUAAAUUUAGUACCAUCACUAUGUAAGUUCCAAUAAAUUUUAAAUCAUAAAUAACUAAAUAACACAUUAAAAUGGAUUCAGGAAAAACUGAAAUAUUUUUAAUUGUAUUUGGGCCAUGUAAUAAAUAUAAUGGUGAAUAUAGUGAGAGUAAUAAAAAUUGAAUUAUUUUAAUACGAUGAAUUAUCACUGAAAGCAUGUCAUUUGCGUAUUUAUUUUACAUAUAUUAACAAAACAUUAGCAAAAAACAAAAGGGCAAACAAGAGAGGGAAAAAAGUAAAUAUAAAGAAUUGGCGAUUCUAUCCACCAUUUCAUGUGAUAGGAGACAUGAAUCUGCUAUCUCUGAAGGCCAUCUUAGUUUCCGUAUGCCUCCAGUAGUGUGUGCAUCUAUAUCUGGUGCUUGAAGAGACAAACUUUUGUACAAGGCGAUCCUUAUCCAAACCAACUGUUUCAUUUGGUUCUCAACCAUAGAAACACUGGAGGACAAAAACUGGCAGUAUUGUUCUUAUUGAGGGAAGAGAUGUCGGUCUCUUAUAUAGGAGACUUUCAGUACUAUGUUGAGGAUAUCUGUGUCUAUGUUCAUCAGGGAUGUUAGCCAGCCAUUUUCUUUUCUAGUAGUUUCCUUGACUGGCUUUGGUAUCAGGGUAAUGCUGGCCUUGUAAAAUGAGUUUGGGAAUAUUCCAUCUUCUUCAAUUUUUUGGAAGAAUUUGUAAGAGUUUGAGCAGGACAUCCAGUUUGUUGACAUAUCAUUGCUCAUAGUAGUUGCUUAUGAUCCUUUGUAUUUCUUCGGUAUCCAUUGUAAUGUCUCCUCUCAAAUUUCUAAUUUUAUUUGAAC